ensembl:lncRNA
AUGUGUACCAGGGUUCACUCCCAGCCCUGGGGCCUCCAGAAACCCUGCAGCCAGCCUUCCUCCACAGCCAUGUGGUGGGGUCGUGGGUGGGCUCCCACAGGGUGUACGGGGGCACCUGGUGGCCCUUACCCCCCACCAUUCCCUGACCUCUGGUCUGGUGCCCCCACCUCCGGGUUGGAAAACCCACCAUUCCCUGACCUCUGGUCUGGUGCCCCCACCUCCGGGUUGGAAAAAUCCCAGAAUCAGUUGAGAGCCAGAGAUAAGAAGGGAGGAUUGGCACAGCACUGGCUGGGAGAGACCCUGAGGGGCCCUGUGGCACCCAUGGGUUGGCCUCAAGGUCCCAGGGUGGCUGCAGCAGGGCCUGCACAGGUCACCCCUGCACUCUCCCCAGACCCAGCUAUCUGGAGUUCGCAAGUACAGAGAUCCUGCAUCCUUCAGUGCUGGGAGCACACUUCCUCAGGGUCUCCCACAGCCAGAAGUUCACAAAGGGCCACCACUUCCUCCUGUGCAUCCAUUUCCUCACUCCUGAGUCAGCACCAUCCAUUUAUGCUGAGUCAUCAUGAAAUUUCUGCUGACUCAUCAUUACCACCUACCUGGAGAUAGGGUGGUCCCCAGCAGCUCCAUCCUGGUCUCUAGCAGGUAUACAUUGCGUGGUCCCAGCAGCUCCAUCCUGGUCUCUAGCAGGUAUACAUUGCCCCAUCUGGGUCUCCAGGCCUCCAGCCAGGUCCCCAGGUCCUCCAUCCAGGCACCGGUGCCUCCAUCCAGGUCUCUAGGGCUCCAUCCGGGUCUCUAGCAGGUGCACAGGGAUCCAUACAGUCUCUAGGAGCCUCAUCUGGGUUUCCAUGGCUCCAUCUGGUUCUCCAGUGCUCCAUCUGGGUCUCCAGAGCUCAAUUUGGGUCCCCAGGGGCUCCAUCCUGGUUUCCAGCAGGUGCAUGGGGUCCUCAGGACCUCCAUCCAGUCCCAGCAGGUGCAAGGGGCCCCUCCUUCCUUCCUUGCAACCUUGGGUUAGAUUUAGGGGUAGAAGCAUGACUCAGCUGGCCUGGUGCCAUGACUCAGCAGGUUAGGUUUGAUGUCAAGGUUAGGGUGGGGAUGGGAUUCAGGUUAGGGUUCAUGUUUGAAGCAUGACUCACCAAGUUUAGAAGCACGACUCAGGAGGUCUGGAAGCAUGAUUCGGCAAUUUUAGAAGUGCGACUCACUGGCCUAAGAGUAUGACUUGGCAGGUGUAGUUGUCUACCUUUGUGGGUAAGGAUGCCUGGUAGGUAAUGAUGACUCAGCAGGUAUAAAAUGGUGACUCAGCAGAAGUUUCUCAAUGACUCACCAGGUCUGGGAUAAUGGAUUAAGUGGGUAUGUAUAAUGAUGGCUCACGAGGUGUGUGCUAGUGAUGAUUCAGCAGAAUUUCCUGAUGACUCAGCAGGAGUCUCAGCAUGACUCAUCCCUUCCUUCCUUCCCUCCCCUCUUUGCAUUCAUUUCUGGUCCACUUUCAAUUUCCUAAACCCACUUCUGGUCAUUCUAGACCCACUUCCAGUCCACUUCUGCAUUCCCAGAGUCAAUUCCAGUCAACUUCCCGAUUCCUACAGUCACUAACUUCCAGCUAAUUUAUGUC